rnacentral:lncRNA from 1 species
GACAAGUGUUAAUCGUCACAUAGACCGUCACCGUAUGAGCGUGGUAUUAGGUUUAUUUGACAAUAUUUGAUGUCGUCACUAAAUGUUUUAACUUAUAGUAAGAUAAUGACCAAUAAAUUCCAACCCUUUAAAUAAAAUCAUCGUGUUAUUACAACAACACUAGCAGAACUGAGCAACAAACUCAGCUUCACCAACAGAAGAAUGC